rnacentral:misc_RNA from 1 species
CGAAAACGGGGCACCCACUCCUCUUUCCACAGCUCCCUCUCUCCAGCCUAUCGUUUCCUUUGAUGACAACGGCAAGUAUCGGGUGAGUUUUGCCUCGCCCCUUUUCUGAAGUGCGCCAGCGCUUGCUCAGUGCCGCUGCACGCACAGACGUGUGCGUGUACGACCUCUGAUUUGCCGUCACCCUUCCUGUGCUUUCCAUCACUGCAGAUUUUUUUUUGUAUGAAAGAAGGGUUUCUAUCCGCCACUGAAGUCUCCAAGAUACACCCAGGCUGAGAGGCUCACACUCGACAACAUGGCAUGGCACUGCUCGUCAACGACGAAUGCGGGGAUGGUGGCUGCACUGCAGCGCGAGGGUCUCAUCAAAACACCCGAGGUGAUUGAGGUGAUGCGCCGUGUGGACCGCGGCUGGUUCGUGCGCAACCCCAAAGAUGCUUACCGUGAUCAGCCUCUGCCCAUCGGUUUCGGCGUGACCAUCAGCGCUCCACAUAUGCAUGCUAUCAUGUUGGAGCUGGUGAGCCCGUCUGUGCUGCGCCACAAGAAUCUGAACCGCGGCCAUAGCCAGCCGCUGCGACUGCUGGACAUCGGUAGUGGCAGCGGCUACAUGACGGCUGCCUUUGCUGCGCUGUGUGAGGCGGCUUGGCGAGACGGUGAGCCGCCGAUGUUUGAGGUGGUCGGCAUCGAGCACGUGCAGGAGCUCCAGAAGCAGUCAAAGCGCGUCCUCGAGUCGCACUUCCCUGAGUGGAUCCGCGGGCGCCGCGUCACGUUGCUGCACGGAGACGGACGGAAGCCUCGCUCCAUCGCGGGUGUUGGUGAGGAAAAAGGUGAAUGCUUUGACGUCAUCCACGUCGGCGCCACCGCGCCGAAGACUCUCGUGCCCGAGUACCUAAGCCUUCUCCGGUGCGGUGGUACGCUGGUGAUUCCCGUUGGUAGCCCGGCCGAGGUGCAGGAGUUACAGGUGUUCACGAAGGGCGAUGAAGGCGCUUUCACGAUGCGGCGAGCGUGUCACGUGCAAUUUGUGCCGCUCACAUCUCUACAUGCCCAGCUCGAUGGCGACGUGACGACGCGCACGUAAGCGGCUCAUUAGUUUUUUUUUUUGCUUUAGGUGCAGCUGAAAUCGCACUGCCGCGCACCACGGAACGGCCCACCGUCAAACGAAAACAAAAAGACGACGAGGGUAAAGCUCACGGAGCUUCUCACGCACAGGUCUGCCGCGUGCACACGUAGGCCUCUGUCAUUGUGCAUUGACGAACUGUGUAAGUAUUCAUGUAUACGUAGACGACAGAGCACGUCGCUAAUUUGGUCUGCACGGUGCGGCAGUCCCUUUCUCUUUCACUUCGUUGUUUUCUUGUCCCCCAAACCGGCCAAAGUAAUCCGUAACCAUUCGAUGGGACAAGACGCUCCUCGAGUAGCUUCUCCGGCGACAUCUUUCCUUUUUUCGUCUUCUCGUUUAUUAGUGUGUCUGCUCUCUCUCUCUCUCUGCGUCUCUGCCCUUUAGUCUGCAGCUGCUAUGUUGCAGAAGACGUCCGGCUCUUUCCUCUUGCAUCCAUCUUCGUUUGGCGAUACACUCUUCCCACCUCCGGUGUCCAUGGCUUCAGACGGACACAUUUCUGGUUCGCGCGUGCCUGUUGUCUUUCUAUUCUCGCUGUUUCUCGUUUUUUUUUUGAAGUAGUGCGGCUGCUCCACGACCCAUGGCAGCCAAGGUGACCCAUCCACGAUCUGCUUCGUUCCUUUCCUGCUUUCCUCUUUGUUUUCGAUUCUUCCAAAGCAUGGAACGACGAGGCACGACUUAGAUCGAAACGGAUGGCACUACUCGGUCCCCCCUCCCCUCUCCCCACCGCCACUCUCCUCAAGUUCUCCUUCCCCGGUCAGGAAAAGACAGCGAGAUCAAGUAUAUUCGUUUUUGCUGUUGCUGCCGUUGAAUCGUGUCGCUGGCUCUACCCUUACAGUGUUUCGCACUUCAACCGCUUCGCAGCAUCAUCCUCUCUCUUUGUUGCCCUCUCUGUGUGCAUGAUCGAUUUCGCUCUCUUGUCCGUCGAAGCGCAGCCACCGCACACAGACCUCGCUGCUCUCUCCCUCUCCUAUGAAUGCUUCUCUCGUCUUUGUUCUCUGCUUUUUUUUUCUCCUGUGUCGGCAUGUGCCACUGCGACAGCGACGCCGGCUCCCCGUAUACCCUCUCUGCUCACACCUCCAUCCGCUGUCUGCUCCUCUGAGUUCCCUACCCGACCUUAGAUGCUGGCCUCUUAUCUCGUCCGCUUCAGCUCUUCCUUGUUUUGCUGCCGCGCCAGAGGAAGCGAAAACGGCGGCAGCCGACCUACAUGAACUGGAAAGCGAUCCCAUGGCACUUCACUGAUGCGCAGGCGGAAUUCAAGAGACCAGCACAGAGUAACGCCUGCAUCAUGUUCAGCACAGUCGAAACUGCUACGCCUUCCUGGGAUUCUGAAAGCCCCUUGCCUGCGCAGCGCGCCAAGUCUCUCUCUCGGUGUUCCUUUGGUCCUUUCUGUCUCUCCCCCACCGCACGCCGCUCGUAUCGAGGUGAGCCCACGCGGACCUUCUAGUUCCGUCGCGCUGCCACGCUCCACUGACCUCUCGCUCCUGUGCUUGUCGCGCUCUCUCUCUGCCUGCGCGCUCGCAUACGUGUUUUUCCUGCUCGCACUCCCUCGCCCCACGCCACACGACUCUCCCCUCUCCGCCUUACGUCAUGCCGCACUUUACACGCGCGCACACACACACACGAAGCAUGCUUCUAAG